rnacentral:misc_RNA from 1 species
AAGUCGUAACAAGGUUUCCGUAGGUGAACCUGCGGAAGGAUCAUUAAAGAGAUGCUUUCCUAGGCUCUGACUCUGGCUCCCCCAGACCUCUGGGGCCACUCGUUUAUAUGGCGGGCCGUCCGUAAGGACGGAGUCACCCUUAUCGUUUAAUCAGGGAAUACCAUCCCACCCGUGGCCUAUAUACUAUGUUGCUUUCCGGGCGUAAGACCCCCGGAGAGGACCAAACUCUUGAAUUUAUGAUUGUCUGAGUACUAUGUAAUAGUUAAAA